CGCAGAAUUAAUUUUAGUCGUUUCCGCUAUUCGCAGUUCGCAGUUUGCUCUACGCAAUCUGCGAUCUUUCAUUUUUACUGUUAUUCUGUUGAAACUGUAUAAAUUUUAUAAUAAGAUUCUCCACUUAUUCCAGUUGGUCCACGCACAAGUGUAAUAAUACCUUUUCUCCAAAUACGAUAAAUUAGAAAAGAAUUGAUUGCGAAAGAAAAAUCGUAAAAAUCGAUUUUACUCUUCAAUGCUAACAGUAUAAUUAAAUACAAGUGUACCUUUUUUAAUAAAAGUCGUUAUAAUCGACAAGUAAAAUGUCCGAUCCAGUUAUAAAUCCGGAAAUACCUUACGUUGGAGAGAUCCAUGGAGGCGUUGUUCCUGGUAAAAUGGUCAAAGUUCAAGGAAAAGUUCCUCAUGAAGCAACACGAUUUGCUGUUAACUACCAAUUAGGCCCAGGGUUGAAUCCUCGUGAUGACAUUGCUCUUCAUGUUUCACCUCGUUUUCCUCAGGGAAUCAUCACUAGAAAUAGUAUUGAGUCAAUGCAAUGGGGAGUUGAAGAAAAUAAUGGUCCCAUGUGGAUUCAUCCUGGUCAGCCUUUUGAAAUAAUUAUUCUUUGUGAAUAUUAUUGUUACAAAAUUGCUGUAAAUGGCAGACAUUUUGCGGAAUUUACUCACAGAUUGCCUUAUGAUAGAGUAACUCAUUUAGUUAUCGAUGGUGACGUUGAGAUAAAUUCUAUUUUUUACGAAACUAUUAAUGUUGGUCCAAGACCAACAGCUCCAGUACCUGAUCUUCCAACAGUUGAUGUUGGUCCACCACCACCUGGUGGUCUUUAUCCUACUCUCAAUCCUCAAGCAAAGUUUGAUCUACCUGAUAAAGAUUACGAUCCACCUCAUCCUCAUAGACAACCAGCUGCACAUCAAAAAUCAGAAGAUGCAUUUGGCAGUACAUUGGAUAAAGUUGGUUUAGCUGUUGGAGGGCUUGUUGCUGCAGGAGGUGUUGCAGCUGCAAUGCAUGCAAUUAAUAAACAAAAAAAGAAACAUGACGGAGAAGCAGAUCAUGCCAAAUCUACUUCCCCAGACUAUGAAAGCGGAUUGGGUGGACUAGGAGCAUUAGGAGCAGCUUUAGCUAGUAGUUUGGCAUCAAAUUCUCAUGCACAACAAGGCUACCCAUCUGAUUCUGGUAGUGGUGGAAUGAUAGGAUCAUUGCUUGGAGCAUUAGGUGGUGGUCAAGCUACAGCAAAACCUAAUUAUAGUCAACAAACAUCAAAUUCUGAUCCUUUCGGUGGAGCUCUAGGAUCCAUACUUGGUGGUGUUCUUGGGGGUGGAAGUCAUCAACAACAACCAACAUACCAACCAACUGGUGGCUAUCCUCAGAAUCAACCAUCACAAAGUGGUGGAGGUAAUGAUUUAUUUGGUGAUUUAAAAGGAGCUCUGCUUAAAUCAGCCAUGGAUGAUAUUACAAAACAUGUUAAAAAUUAAAGAAGACGAAGUCUGUUGGAAAUAUAAUUUUUAAAACUGUGCUACCAGAUUUUCAAAAGUCAAAGCUAUACCCUAACAAACCUCAACCAUCGGGAGCCGAAAAUCCUCAUCCGACGUAUCACGGAAAUAUGUCACCACCAUCACACGAUCCUCC
rnacentral:misc_RNA from 1 species